AGGAAAGCAGGGGAUCGCAAGACCUUGCGCUCUUGGAGCGGCCGAUGUCUGAUUAGCUAGUUGGUGAGGUAAAGGCUUACCAAGGCGACGAUCAGUAGCUGGUCUGAGAGGACGACCAGCCACACUGGGACUGAGACACGGCCCAGACUCCUACGGGAGGCAGCAGUGGGGAAUUUUGGACAAUGGGGGAAACCCUGAUCCAGCCAUGCCGCGUGAGUGAAGAAGGCCUUCGGGUUGUAAAGCUCUUUCAGCCGGAACGAAACGGUCACGGCUAAUACCUGUGACUACUGACGGUACCGGAAGAAGAAGCACCGGCUAACUACGUGCCAGCAGCCGCGGUAAUACGUAGGGUGCAAGCGUUAAUCGGAAUUACUGGGCGUAAAGCGUGCGCAGGCGGUUUUGUAAGUCAGAUGUGAAAUCCCCGGGCUUAACCUGGGAACUGCGUUUGAAACUACAAGGCU
rnacentral:rRNA from 1 species